AAUGAGAUGCAAAGAAAUUUGAAGAACAACUCCUUUUGUAACCUUUUCCUUUUCAGUUUCUUUGCACUUUUGUCAUUCAAAUCUUAAAAUAAUAAUAAUAUACCAAUUCAAUUGAAAUUCUUGAUAUCUAAUCAUACUAAUUAAAUUUAAAGUUCAUUCUGGAUUUAGAACAUAUAAAAAAUAUUCUCAUUUUCUUUGUUAAGUGUUUUUUCUUAUUUUCUUAACAAUGUUUAAUUUUCACAAUUUCUUUUCAUUUUUGAGAUAUAUUUUCAAAAAAGAAAAAAUAUAUUACCUGGAAAAACAUUAUUAUAGGCACUUUAGUCUCCCUUCCAUGUUAUAUGAAGUAAAAGUGCAAAAAGGGAUAGGAUUAAAUUUUAUUCUGGUACAAAGUACAAAAAUCUUUAAUUAAGAACCACUUCUUUUAGUGAUCUCCAAGCAAAUCA
rnacentral:misc_RNA from 1 species